CCUACGGGUGGCAGCAGUGAGGAAUAUUGGUCAAUGGACGAGAGUCUGAACCAGCCAAGUAGCGUGAAUGAUGACUGCCCUAUGGGUUGUAAACUUCUUUUAUAUGGGAAUAAAACGUUCCACGUGUGGGAUUUUGUAUGUACCAUAUUAAUAAGGAUCGGCUAACUCCGUGCCAGCAGCCGCCGUAAUACGGAGGAUCCGAGCGUUAUCCGGAUUUAUUGGGUUUAAAGGGAGCGUAGGUGGAUUGUUAAGUCAGUUGUGAAAGUUUGCGGCUCAACCGUAAAAUUGCAGUUGAAACUGGCAGUCUUGAGUACAGUAGAGGUGGGCGGAAUUCGUGGUGUAGCGGUGAAAUGCUUAGAUAUCACGAAGAACUCCGAUUGCGAAGGCAGUUCACUGGACUGCAACUGACACUGAGGCUCGAAAGUGUGGGUAUCAAACAGGAUUAGAUACCCGUGUAGUC
rnacentral:rRNA from 1 species